CCUACGGGUGGCAGCAGUGGGGAAUAUUGCGCAAUGGGCGAAAGCCUGACGCAGCCACGCCGCGUGAGCGAUGAAGGUCUUAGGAUCGUAAAGCUCUGUGGGGGGAGAAGAAACCUGACGGUAUCCCCUUAGCAAGCACCGGCUAACUCCGUGCCAGCAGCCGCGGUAAUACGGAGGGUGCAAACGUUGCUCGGAAUCAUUGGGCGUAAAGCGCACGUAGGCGGCUUUGCAAGUUGGAUGUGAAAGCCCAGGGCUCAACCCUGGAAGUGCAUCCAAAACUGCUUGGCUUGAGUCCCGGAGGGGCCCAGAGAAUUCUCGGUGUAGAGGUGAAAUUCGUAGAUAUCGGGAGGAAUACCAGUGGCGAAGGCGCUGGGCUGGACGGGUACUGACGCUGAGGUGCGAAAGCGUGGGGAGCAAACAGGAUUAGAUACCCUUGUAGU
rnacentral:rRNA from 1 species